GAUCCUGGCUCAGAUUGAACGCUGGCGGCAGGCUUAACACAUGCAAGUCGAACGGUAACAUAAGGAAGCUUGCUUCUUUGAUGACGAGUGGCGGACGGGUGAGUAAUGCUUGGGAAUCUAGCUUAUGGAGGGGGAUAACUACGGUAAACUGUAGCUAAUACCGCGUAAUAUCGAGAGAUUAAAGUGUGGGACCUUCGGGCCACAUGCCAUAGGAUGAGCCCAAGUGGGAUUAGGUAGUUGGUGAGG
rnacentral:rRNA from 1 species